UACGUAGGGGGCAAGCGUUGUCCGGAGUCAUUGGGCGUAAAGCGCGUGUAGGCGGCCAGGUAGGUCCGGUGUGAAAACUCGAGGCUCAACCUCGAGAGGUCAUCGGAAACCAUCUGGCUAGAGUCCGGAAGAGGAGAGUGGAAUUCCAGGUGUAGCGGUGAAAUGCGUAGAUAUCUGGAGGAACACCGGUGGCGAAGGCGGCAUCCUGGACCGGUAUUGACGCUGAGGAGCGAAAGCCAGGGGAGCAAACGGG
rnacentral:rRNA from 1 species